rnacentral:rRNA from 1 species
UGGGGAAUUGUUCGCAAUGGGCGCAAGCCUGACGACGCAACGCCGCGUGAAGGAUGAAGUAUUUCGGUAUGUAAACUUCGAAAGAAUAGGAAGAAUAAAUGACGGUACUAUUUGUAAGGUCCGGCUAACUACGUGCCAGCAGCCGCGGUAAUACGUAGGGACCAAGCGUUGUUCGGAUUUACUGGGCGUAAAGGGCGCGUAGGCGGUGUGUCAAGUCAGUUGUGAAAUCUCCGAGCUUAACUCGGAACGGUCAACUGAUACUGUCACACUAGAGUACAGAAGGGGCAAUCGGAAUUCUUGGUGUAGCGGUGAAAUGCGUAGAUAUCAAGAGGAACACCUGAGGCGAAGGCGGGUUGCUGGACUGAUACUGACGCUGAGGCGCGAAAGCUAGGGUAGCAAACGGGAUUAGAUACCCCCGUAGUCCCUGAGCGGGCUGGCAAGGCGCAU